rnacentral:rRNA from 1 species
UACGAAGGGGGCUAGCGUUGCUCGGAAUUACUGGGCGUAAAGGGCGCGUAGGUGGCCCGGUCAGUCCGUGGUGAAAGCGCGGGGCUCAACCCUGCGUCGGCCAUGGAUACUGCCGCGGCUCGAGCACUGUAGAGGCAGGCGGAAUUCCGGGUGUAGCGGUGGAAUGCGUAGAGAUCCGGAAGAACACCGGUGGCGAAGGCGGCCUGCUGGGCAGUAUGGCUGACACUGAGGCGCGACAGCGUGGGGAGCAAACAGG